rnacentral:lncRNA from 1 species
GCCCUUAGUGAGGCUAAGGUGAUCAAAGGCUCGUGCCUUGGGUGCUCUUGUUCCCUUUGUACUGUUGAUGCAGAGUUGAAAGAGGUGGCAGAACUAGCUUUGGCCAUGCUUCGAGCCGUGAUGCCCAAAGUGACACCACUUGCGACGAUGACGCUCUUGUUCUUUGUACCGGUUGCGGGAACAGUUUGAGCCUUCCUUGCUGCCAUUGACUUUGAGGUGUGUUUGGAUUCCUUGAACGGAAAAUUUGUGUUUGAGA